UGUUUUGGAGAGAAGGAGAGUUACAGAGAAAAUGCGACUAUGGAGCCGCAAUAUUGCUGAGUUGACAGACCAUUUGACGAGCCUAUCAUCCGAUAAGAUGAUUUCACUUGUCAUAAUUUGACACUUAGAUCCUAGGCUAGAUAAGAGAACACUUGGACUAUGAUCCAAUGGCUCAUAUUACAUUAGGAAAUUAAAACUUAUAAAAUGAAAUUCAUAAGAAUUUGUAACUUUGCCUUCAAGAUAUCAGCUCAAGGGUUACACAUCAAC
rnacentral:lncRNA from 1 species